CUGGGAGUGUCUUCGCGGCCGUGAAUCACGGCGGAGUGAAGGGAAAGCUCUCCCCAAGCACAGCUCUCCGCACGGGGAGGCUGCAGGUUUGGCUUUUGUUGGGUUCGGCUGUGGUUUUGUUUUCAUCUCCUGCCAAUUUCAAGCAGGGCUCUUUUUUUGGGUGGUUGUUAUCACGGCAAGAAUGUAAUUGCCUGCUGGAUUCGGGUCUGCUUCCCGGCAGGGUGAGCACAAACACUUACAUGCACUUGGAGGAAGCAUGACAUCUUGUUUUUAGCUCACUGAAGUGGCUGUGAGAUAACAAGCAAUGCCCUGUCCCUGAGCGUGCAAAAGAUGAGAUAACAUUCGCUGUUCUUGAGAUAACAAGAGCCCGAGGAUGGUUUGGAAGGCACCUCAAAGACCAUCGCCUCUGUCGGGUGGUGCACGGUGGUAAGACAAAGAACAACGCAUGCAAACUUGCCCAGAAGAAGGUUUCACCUCACCAUGGCAGAGUGCAGUAGCAAUGUGAGGAAAUGAUGGACUUGUAGAAGGAAAGAGAUGUCUCUCUCACUAAUGUGUCCAACUUGAGGCUCCCCAGUUCAAAAGAGACAGGAACCUGUUGGAGAGAGUCCAGUGGAGAGCCAUGAGGAUGAGUGGGGGACUCGAGCAUCUCCCCUGUGAAGAGAGACUGAGCGUCCUGGGGCUGUUUAGUCUGGAGAAGACUGAGGGGAGAUCUGAUCAGUGUGUACACAUCACAGGAUCACAGGAUGUUAGGGGUUGGAAGGGACCCAAAGUCUAACCCCCUGAGGGGGUCCAAAUACCUGAGGGGUGGGGGUCAAGUGCCUGGGACAAAUCUCUUUUCAUUGGUCAGCAGCAAUAAGCCAAGGAGCAACAGCCACAAACUGGACCAGAGAAGGUUUCAGCUCAACAUGAGGAGAAACUUCUUUGCAGUGAGGGUGACAGAGCACUGGAGCAGGCUGCCCAGAGAGGCUGUGGAGUCUCCUUCUCUGCAGACUUUCCAAACCCGCCUGGAUGCAUUGCUGUGCAGAGAGCAGCAGUGAGCCAAGGAGCAACAGGCACAAACUGGAACAGAGAAGGUUUCACCUCAACAUGAAGAGAAACUUGUUUCAGUGGGGGUGACAGAGCACUGGAGCAGGCUGCCCAGAGAGGUUGUGGAGUCUCCUUCUCUGCAGACUUUCCAAACCCACCUGGAUGCAUUCCUGUGCAGACUACCUUAAGGGAUCCUUCUUUGGCAGAGGGAUUGGACUGGAUGAUCUCUGGAGGUCCCUUCCAACCUCUAACAUUCUGUGAUCCAGUUCCCAGCUCGUACGAGAUCACCUUGCUCAAGACAAGGAGUGACUCUAGUGCUACAGCCAAGGAGAGCUGUGACUUCCAGCCCUUUGUGUGCACAGGCUGGUGUCAAGUUUAACACCAUGCUGUAAUUCGUUGUCAGUGCAUUAAUUAGUCAUGCAGAAAGGAUUCCAAGCAGACACUGCAUCAACGUAAAAAGCAUUAGCACUAUAUCAGCAUUGGCUGCCGGUUGAAAGCUGCUCACAAAGCCAGGAAUGCUCCUGCUGAUGGGAGAAGCUACACAACCUGCUCCCUGCUCCCAACCCAGUACACAAAUCAGGGGCUGGGGUGCUGGUAGGAUCACCAGUUUUUCCUGUUCCAUUCCAGUUCUGGGCUGAGCUCCCCACUUCAAGAGAGACAGGGAACUACUGGAGAGAGUCCAGUGGAGGCUAUGAAGAUGCUGAGUGGCCUGGAGCAGCUCUGUGAGGAGCAAAGGCUGAGAGCCCUGGGGCUGUGCAGCCUGUGGAAGAGCAGCCCCAGAGGGGAUCUGAGCAAUGCUCAGCAAGAGCUAAAGGAGCUGUGGGGGGUAAGGGGAUGGGGCCAGACUCUUGUCAGUGGUGCCCAGUGCCAGGACAAGGGACAGUGGGCACAAAGUGGAACCCAUCUGAAGGUGAGGAGAAACCUGUUUGGUGUGAGAGUGCUGGAGCCCUGGAGCAGACUGCCCAGAGAAGUUGUGGAGUCUCCUUCUCUGGAGAGCUUCCAAACCCCCAUGGCCAUUGUGAUGCUGGGCAAGCUGCUGUGGCUGACAUUGGGGUUUCCUGUUUCCUCUUGCUGUGUUUAGGUUAACAUCAUCUACAAAACAUAAGCUUCCCUUGCACAGCUCUUCACCUGAGUCAAAGAUGCCUUACAGUUUUGCAGGAGAAAAAAUAUUGCACAUCCAGAGCAAUGACUUGGGGGUCACAUCAGUUAAGAGAUGAGGGACAGAACUCUUUGGACCAUCAUAUCCUACAAGUCAGACCAUGAUUAGGAACAGGCUCAUCUGCCUGCAGCUUGCCUUGCUCCUGAAUCACCCUGAUGAAUCAAUCAGAAGAAUCCAGGCAAGCAGCUUGCUGAGGAGAAGUCAAAAGGAGCAGCACGGCUCAGAGGUGGCAUCAUGAAGAUGAAAGGUUUAAGAGGACAAGCAAGAAGUCCUGCAGCAGCAGGGUUGUAAGGGAUGUGGCUCUUGUGAAGGUUACAAAAGCCUUGUGUUGCUGGAGGGAGAGGGCCAAAUGUCUGACUGAAAAGAGGUUUCUGUGAAUCACCUCGUUCCAGCUCUCUCCAUCAAGCAUCUCUAGAAGGUAAACCUACCUCUGUGUGUGUGUAGAACCAUACAAUCAUGGAACAUGGAUUGGAAGAGACCCUUGCAGCUCCUCUAGUCCAACCCUGCUGCAGUCAGCAGGGAUAGUCCUGGCUAGACCAGAUUGCUCAGAGCCCCAUCAGGCCUGACACUGAGUGUCUACAAGGAUGAGGCUUCCACCACCUCUUUGGGCAACCUGUUUCAGUGCUCCACCACCUUCAUUGUGAUGAACAUCUUCCUAAUGGCCAAAGAGACUUUUAAUGGCCCAAAGGGCUUGCUCCUAAUGUCCAAAAGGACUUCUUCCUAAUGCCCAAAAGAACUUCUAAUGCCCAAAAGGACUCCUAAAGUCCAAAAGGACUUCUUCCUAAUGCCCAGAAGAAUUUCUAAUGCCCAGAAGGACUCCUAAUGCCCAGUUCUCAUCUCUCCAGCAUAACUAAGUGGAGCACAACCAAGACAAAGAUAAGAACCAACCAACCAACCAAAAAACAACAAAGAGAAAGAAAAAUAAAAACCCAUUUGAAAGA